CAUAGCACCCUGAAUGCAGCCGAUCUCGUCUGAUUUCAGAAGCUAAGCAGAGUCGGGCUUGGUUAGUACUUGGAUGGGAGAUCAGUACCCUGGA
rnacentral:rRNA from 1 species